rnacentral:rRNA from 1 species
UACGUAGGGUGCGAGCGUUAAUCGGAAUUACUGGGCGUAAAGCGUGCGCAGGCGGUGAUGUAAGACCGAUGUGAAAUCCCCGGGCUUAACCUGGGAACUGCAUUGGUGACUGCAUCGCUCGAGUAUGGCAGAGGGGGGUAGAAUUCCACGUGUAGCAGUUAAAUGCGUAGAGAUGUGGAGGAAUACCGAUGGCGAAGGCAGCCCCCUGGGUCAAUACUGACGCUCAUGCACGAAAGCGUGGGGAGCAAACAGG